rnacentral:misc_RNA from 1 species
AAGUCGUAACAAGGUUUCCGUAGGUGAACCUGCGGAAGGAUCAUUAACACGUAUCCAACGUUAAACCCCCCGUGAACCUUCAUUGUGCUCCCCCAUUCCGUUAGGACGGCAAUCCCUGGUAAAUCAUCGCCGAACAGUUUUGAUUCAGGGACCUCUGCAUGGAGUGGGCAGCAGCGCGAGGCAAGUGGCCUGGCAUUCGAAAGAAUGGCGCAGUAACGAUCGCUAGAGGCCGACACGGCCGGCGACCGGGUCACUGGGCUCACGCCCCCCUAUCACCUUUGCAUGAAAACGGGCCUGCGCUUAAUUGUGCGGCCACCAAACUCGAACAACUGUUAACAAUGGAUAUCUUGGUUCUC